rnacentral:rRNA from 1 species
AUUGAACUCUGGCGGCAGGCCUAACACAUGCAAGUCGAGCGAGCGGCGGAAGGGUGAGUAAUGUAUGGGGACUGCCCGAUAGAGGGGGAUAACUACUGGAAACGGUAGCUAAUACCGCAUACUAUCGGAUAACCCAUAUGGGAUUAGCUAGUAGGUGAGUUAAUGGCUAACCUAGGCGACGAUCCCUAGCUGGGCUGAGAGGAUGAACAGCCACACUGGGCCUUGGACACGGCCCAGUCUCCUACGGAGGACGCAGGGUGGAAUAUGGCACAAUGGGCGCAAGCCUGCUGCAGCCAUGCCGCGUGUAUGCAGAAGGCCCUAGGGUUGUAAAGUACUUUCAGUCGGGAGGCGUUACCGACAUAAGAAGCACCGGCUAACUCCGUGCCAGCAGCCGCGGUAAUUC